rnacentral:rRNA from 1 species
GACGAACGCUGGCGGCGUGCUUAACACAUGCAAGUCGAACGGAAAGGCCCUGCUUUUGUGGGGUGCUCGAGUGGCGAACGGGUGAGUAACACGUGAGUAACCUGCCCUUGACUUUGGGAUAACUUCAGGAAACUGGGGCUAAUAUCGGAUAGGAGCUCCUGCUGCAUGGUGUGGGUUGGAAAGUUUCGGCGGUUGGGGAUGGACUCGCGGCUUAUCAGCUUGUUGGUGGGGUAGUGGCUUACCAAGGCUUUGACGGGUAGCCGGCCUGAGAGGGUUACCGGCCACAUGGCGACUGAGAUACGGCCCAGAAUGCUACGGGAGGCAGCAGUGGGGAAUAUUGCACAAUAGGCGGAAGCCUGAGGCAGAAACGCCGGGUGCGGGAUGACGGCCUUCGGGUUGUAAACCGCUGUCGCCUGAGACGAAGAGUGAGUGACGGUAAUGGGUAAAGAAGCAACGGCUAACUACGUG